rnacentral:ribozyme from 13 species
AAGAAGAAGAAGAGGAAGAAGAAGAAUGACCAUGAAGCUCAUCCAACUUCAAAAGCAAAAGAGCCAAAUUCAUAACAUCAGAUUUUUCUCCUUUUUCUUCUUUUUUCCCUCUCCUCUUCAUUUCUC